rnacentral:lncRNA from 1 species
UAGAUGUCAACGAUCUUUAUAAAGUUGUUUGAAGCGUCUAUGAUAAACAGAGAGCAAAUUAGAAUCCAAGGAAGUUGACAUGUCAUCACUUCAUUUUUUUGCGCCUGCGCAUAAAUCUGAGAAACGUGAGUUUUGUCUUCAUUGUUUAUCUAGACAUAGGAUAGGUUGUGUGAAAAUAUUACUGAUGUUUAACGUUAAAAAUGGACCAAAAGAUUAAUGCUAAACAACAUUUGACAUGUUUGAACGAACAUAAAUAGAUUAUUUACUAGGUUUUUUUAGCUUUUCGGCGUGAUUUUACAGUCCCCCCACCACGUUUUGUGGGAGCAUAAUGAACGCUAAGUACUUGGUGUUAUUUGGACAUAAAUUAUAAACUUUGUCAAAAGAAACCACAUUUGUUCCGGACCUGGAAUGCCUUCCGGACCUGGGAUCCUGCCUUCUGAUGGAGAUAAUCAAAGGUGGAGAAAACAACAAGCAGAAAGUGAAGUUACUGUAGAUGUGCCUCAUUGAAAAUAUGGAAAUUGACAUUUGACAAUUGAAAUCUGAAUGGUGCCUACUGUCAAGGUUGUCGUUGGAAAUGGAAAUGGAGGACCAAAACGCAGCAGGUGACAAAGAAUACCAAGCAACCUGAGAACUUUCCCUGGACAACGUCCUCCAAAAAUAUUCAAAGAAUGUAUUUGAUCAACAAAUAUUUUUUCUAAGAAAAUGUUUAAAUGAAAUAUCCUUGGAUUUUUUUCCCACUAAAAUGUUGUUCACAACAUCUGUAAAACUACCACAUAACAUACCCCUAAGGUUCUCAUGAGGUUGCUAGUGAAUGUAAUAUCACAAUGUUCCAUUAAUGUUCUUACAACAUAGUGCCGCAAACAAAAUGUGGGCGCAAUAGAAAUGAUUCUGAAGAAACAUUGCAGGAACGUUCUACUAAUGUUGAUGGAUAUGUUAUUCAAACACCCAUAACAACAAGCAGAGAAUAUUCCUAAAAUGGUCUUAAAGUUUUAGUGUAACGUUAUUACAUUCCCUAAUUUAAUGACAUUUGUUCUGAGAAAACAUUACAGGAACAUUCUGCUGAUGUUCAUGGAGACAUCAUCCAAAACAAAAUGCAGGGAACAUUCCCACAAGACUAUCAUUACACUGAGUGUACAAAACAUUAAUAACACUUUCCUAAUAUUGCACCCCCCACCCCCUCCCCCUUUACCCUCAGAACAGCUUCAAUUAAUCAAGGUAUGGACUCUACAAGGUGUUAAAAGUGUUCCACAGGGAUGCUGGCCCAUGUUGACUCCAAUGCUUCCAACAGUUGUGUCAAGUUGGCUGGAUGUCCUUUCGGUGGUGGACCAUUCUUGAUACACACGGGAAACUAUUGUGCAUGAAAAACCCAGCAGCAUUGCAGUUCUUGACACAAACCGGUGUGGCUGGCACCUACUAUCGUACCCUGUUCAAAGGCACUUAAAUACAUUGUCUUGCCCAUUCACCCUCUGAAUGGCACACACACAAUACAUGUCUCAAUUGUCUCAAAGCUUAAAAAUCCUUCUUAAACCUGUCUCCUCCCCUUCAUCUACACUGAUUGAAUUGGAUUUAACAAGUGACAUCAAUAAUGGAUGAUAGCUGUCAUCUGGAUUCACCUGGUCAGUAUUUUGUACACUCAGUGUAUAGUUGUAGUGUGAUUUUACGACAUGAAUGUUCCAAUAACAUUUCCUGAACAUACUUCAGCAAUAAAAUGUUGGAGCAGUAGAAGUCGUUCCGAAAAACAUUCCUGGAAUAUUCAGCUAAUGUUGAUGGAGAUAUUACUACUUACACCUACAACAACAAACAAGAAACAUUCCUGUGAGACUUAUAAAGUUAAAGAUGUGACGGAUCUUAAUUUUAUCACCCUGUUGCUGGAGAACUAUCCAGCACGGCAGGAAAUGGAAAACUUCAAUUUUAUUUAAGGUUUAAAAAGGCUUCUGAAGUUGUAAUUUCCACUUUGAAAUUUCAGACUUCAUUUUCCCUUACGAAAAAUGUAUCAACCCCUACAAAAAUGUCCCUUAAUUAUAGUCCACAUAAUAAUGAAUAUAUUCCUGUUGCUGCAAGAAUUUAUUUCACGCUGUCACAAACUGUCCGUGGCUUGUAAUAUAAAGGCAGUUAACGUUGGAUUGAACGAGUGACCUAAGCAUCUUUGAGCGUUGUAUAAUCAUCGGUGCCAGUCACGCCACUUCCAGUAUCUCAGAAAAAGCCACCAUCCUGGGCUUUUCACGCAAGACAGUGUCUAGGGUUUACCAAGAAUGGUGCAACAAACAAAAAACACCCAGUCAGCAGCAGUCCUGUGGGCAAAAACAGUUUGUUGGUGAGUGAGGUCAAAGGAGAAUGACAAGAAUCGUGCAAGCUAACAGGUGGGCCACAAACAAGCAUAUAACGGAGCAGUCCAACAGUGGUGUGCAGAAUGGCAUCUCGGAACGCAAAACACGGUAGUCCUUGUCACGGAUGAGCAAUUGCAGCAGACGACCACACCGGGUUCCACUCGUAUCAGCUAAAAACAAGAAGAAGCAGCUCCAGUGGGCACGCAAUCACCUAUCCUGGACAAUUGAGGAGCGAAAAAACGUCUUCUAGUCCAACGAAUCCUGGUUCCUGAGUGUAUAUUUCCACAAUAUGAGGGUGGCAUAAUACUGUGAAAUGGUGAAAUUUAUGAUAAUGCCAUUUUAGUGUAAAAGCUGUUUGAAUAGACAACCUGAAAUUUCAGCCUGUUAUGCUGGGAUGGAGUUUUGGCCUGCCUGGUGACAUCGCCAGGUGGUAAAUUAGUUAAUAGACCAAUAAGAAAGCGUAACGCCCUGGCCAUAGAGAGGGGUUUUUGUUCUUUAUUUUGGUUAGGCCAGGGUGUUACAUUGGGUGGGCGUUCUAUGUUCCUUUUUCUAUGUUUUUGUACACUGCUCAAAAAAAUAAAGGGAACACUUAAACAACACAAUGUAACUCCAAGUCAAUCACACUUCUGUGAAAUCAAACUGUCCACUUAGGAAGCAACACUGAUUGACAAUAAAUUUCACAUGCUGUUGUGCAAAUAGAAUAGACAACAGGUGGAAAUUAUAGGCAAUUAGCAAGACACCCCCAAUAAAGGAGUGGUUCGGCAGGUGGGGACCACAUACCACUUCUCAGUUCCUAUGCUUCCUGGCUGAUGUUUUGGUCACUUUUGAAUGCUGGCGGUGCUUUCACUCUAGUGGUAGCAUGAGACGGAGUCUACAACCCACACAAGUGGCUCAGGUAGUGCAGCUCAUCCAGGAUGGCACAUCAAUGCGAGCUGUGGCAAGAAGGUUUGCUGUGUCUGUCAGCGUAGUGUCCAGAGCAUGGAGGCGCUACCAGGAGACAGGCCAGUACAUCAGGAGACGUGGAGGAGGCCGUAGGAGG